GAGGAAAGUCCGGGCUCCAUAGAGCAAGGUGCCAGAUAACAUCUGGAAAGCGUAAGCUUAUGACAAGUGCAACAGAAAAAAACCACCUAUUUAUUGUCAUAAAUACGGAAAGGGUGAAAAGGCGUGGUAAGAGCACACCGCAUAAUUGGCAACAAUUAUGGCUAGGUAAACUCCACCUGGAGCAAAGCCAAAUAUAAGGUUCAGUUGAAAUUUUGUGCUGCUCGUACUAUAUAAAUCUUGGGUAGGCUGCUUGAAUUAAUAAGUGAUUAUUAAUCUAGAUGAAUGACUGUUAACACAGAACCCGGCUUAUAGGUCAACUUCA
rnacentral:RNase_P_RNA from 1 species